rnacentral:rRNA from 1 species
UACGUAGGGUGCAAGCGUUAAUCGGAAUUACUGGGCGUAAAGCGUGCGCAGGCGGUUGUGCAAGACCGAUGUGAAAUCCCCGGGCUCAACCUGGAUGAUGGCAUUGGUGACUGCACGGCUAGAGUGUGUCAGAGGGGGGUAGAAUUCCACGUGUAGCAGUGAAAUGCGUAGAGAUGUGGAGGAAUACCGAUGGCGAAGGCAGCCCCCUGGGAUAACACUGACGCUCAUGCACGAAAGCGUGGGGAGCAAACAGG